rnacentral:rRNA from 1 species
AUUGAACGCUGGCGGCAGGCCUAACACAUGCAAGUCGAGCGGUAGAGAGGUGCUUGCAUCUCUUGAGAGGCGGCGGACGGGUGAGUAAUGCUAGGAAUCUGCCUAGUGGUGGGGGAUAACGUUCGGAAACGGACGCUAAUACCGCAUACGUCCUACGGGAGAAAGCGGGGAUCUUCGGACCUCGCGCCAUUAGAUUGAGCCUAGGUCGGAUUAGCUAGUUGGUGAGGUAAUGGCUCACCAAGGCGACGAUCCGUAACUGGUCUGAGAGGAUGAUCAGUCACACUGGAACCUGAGACACGGUCCAGACUCCUACGGGAGGCAGCAGUGGGGAAUAUUGGACAAUGGGCGAAAGCCUGAUCCAGCCAUGCCGCGUGUGUGAAGAAGGUCUUCGGAUUGUAAAGCACUUUAAGUUGGGAGGAAGGGUAGUAACCUAAUACGUUGCUACUUUGACGUUACCGACAGAAUAAGCACCGGCUAACUUCGUG